UGCCGCUUCUCUUCAUUCCCUGGAUACGAAACCCUAAAUCGACACGCAACCACCACAAUCAUUCAAUUCUGAAUAACCUCCGGUGAUUUAACCUUCAAGCUUCAUGUAUUGGAACUGUCAAGAUGUCUGUUUUGUACAUACCGCAGAUGAAGCAUUCAGGGGAGCAAGAAAAGGGCUCGGUGGCAAAACUAUUUGAGCAAGUUGGAUUGCAAAAGAUUUAAUCAUUACUUGAAGUGGAAGACCCUGAUGUG